GGCCGUCCGUAAAAUUUCAGCGAUUAGCAGAAGUAGAACAUAGUAGGCUCUCAAUGUAUACUGAGCUCCUACCACACAAUGAGCUCUAUCUAAGUUGGAGAGAGGCAGGUAGAAGGUGCUAGAAGGAAGGAAGACGGUGAUUAUUCGCUGCCAUGCUCCCCGUAUCCUCCAUGAAAAUGUCCCCACUCCCGUCUUCUUUCACAGCACACGGAUUUCUGUCUGCCCAAUCUCCUCUGUUAACACUUGGAUGACGCUUAAUGUUUUAGGAUUCUGAACCACCCUGCGAUCAGCAGCCUCGUGAUUAAUUACGUAGGACAAAUAGUUUUUUCCGGCUCACUUUUGGUUUUCUCUUUGGCCCAAGGAUUACUUAGGAGAUAAUGUUCUAUUUCGGCCUGUUGGGCUUUAUUUUACUUACAAAUCUUAUAUUCUUAGUUUACUUCCUCCUAAAGGUUAUCGUACUCACAAAAACAUCGAAUCAUAAAUGUCAACUCGAUGAGUCUUCACCACCUAAGUGGACACACACGAGCAGCCCUUAGAUGUGGAAGUGGAGUAUUGCCAUCACUUCCGGAAGCCCGUUGGCACCCCUUCCUGACCACUCCCCUCCGGCCGGGGGUAGCUAUUAUUGUGACUUCUAACACCAGAGGUUAGUUUUGCCUGCUUCUGAAUUUUGCAUGAACAGAGCCCUAAAAUGCAAAUUCUUCUGUACCGGCGAGGUUCAUCUGCAUUGCUGUCUGUGACACUGUGUGCUCGCUGUCCUUGCUGCAGAGUGUUCUGGUACCUGAAAAGAUAACCAUGAUUUCUCUACCGUUCUACUGCUGCUGAACAUCCAGGUGCCAUCCGGUUUGGGGCAAUGCCGCAUCACCGCGGUGAGCAUUCUCUCUGUGACUUUGGAGCCGUUGUAUGCUGGAAAUACUCUCCAGAUGACAAGCCCUGGCUGGUGUGUGCCGAUUUCCAUGGUGUAAAUCCUUGCACAUGGCCGAUUCCUUGCACAAGCUGCCAUGGUGAUGUCCCUGAAGGCGGAGGCGUGGAAAAGAUGCGAGUAAUCAGCCCCUGCCCUAGGUGAGCAGCUCAGCUUUCUGGAGUUUCUCUGGCUGCUGAGAAGGAGAGUCACGGGGUCGGAGGGGAGGUGUUUGUUCAUCUCUAGACCCAAGAGACACUGCCUCAUGGUUUCCCAAAGGGGGUGAAUCACAAAUACUUACAUUCUUUUGGAUUUUUGUUUUCAUUUGUUAUGACUGGUUUUCAAUAUUAGGGUCAAAAUGUGUCUGCAUUAUCUCUUUUUUUGGAAUUUAUUGAGGUUAUAGGGUUUUUUGUGGCUUUUAAAAAAGUUGUCCCACAGAUAGCUCGUGGACGAGGAAGUAUAUUCUCUCCUUAUUUUUUUUAGCCAUCGAUAGGAUCACAUUUUUUAAUUAAAUUAUACAGACCCUCUAUGGGUAUACGUUUGUCUCUACUUCUAUGAAUAAAAAACCUAAUAAGGGGGCGGCCUGGGUGGCUCAGUCGGUUAAGCGUCCAACUCUUGGUUUCGGCUCAGGUCGUGAUCUCACAGUUCAUGAGUUCGAGCCCCGCAUCGGGCUCUGUGCUGACAGUGUGGAGCCUGCUUGGGAUUCUCCCUCUCUCUCUCUCUCUCUCUCUCAAUAAAUAAACACUUUUUAAAAAAAUGAAUAAGGUAUCUAAUAUUCCCCCACUGUAAGGCCUCUCACGGAGGUGAAGGUACCAGCCAAAAGCCACACCAUCAGAAGAGGUGGGCAGGAGUCCAAACCCAGCCCCUGGCCGCAGGCUUCUAUGCAUUUAAGGAUUAAAUGUCCUAAUGGAGUCAGUCUCUUAGCCCAAAAUAUGUAUGUCAGUUAAGCGGUCACUGCCCAGUUUCGUCUUUUGGUAAAAUGCUCAAAGGGCCUGGAUGAAUCUCGAACGAAUAAGGACCGAACGAAUGCACACAUGAAUCCAGAUGGCCUCCACCGGGCCUAUUGGCCUGGUCCUUUUGCAGAAAGGAACUCUGUGGUUUGCAGACAAGGAGAGAUAUUUGCUUUGUGAGCCUCCGGUGGGUCUGCGGAGGGGGCGCCCCCCCCCCCCCCGGGCAGCCUGCCCUGCCCCCUGUGUGCCUCCUGCCUCGCUGACCAGGCGGCCUCGGUUUUACCCAGCAGCUGUGUCGGCAGGCCCAGCCCAGCCCGCCGUGUGGCCCAGUGCUCGGGGGCUCUGGAGCCACAGAACAAUAGUGGCAUUGUUGCCACUUCCCGGUCCCCUCGACUGUCCCAGUUACUCAUCAAGGAUGUUGGCGGGCCCAGCCCUGGAACACAGUGUGCUUGUCCCUUGAUUAAGCCGCAGACACGCUCAGACAGUGGCCCUGCGGGAGGUGGUGAUGAGUUCAUCUCUUGGCCAUUCAGACAACCCGACGGCCGUGGGCUUGGGCAGAAGAUGGGUCAACAGGAGGUCAUGCUGGUUGGUCCCCUCCAGAGGCCACCCCCAAGGGGAGACGAUGACAGCAUCCUCUCCCCCAGGAGGGGCCCAGCCAGCCAGAUGGGCGAGUGGCCUCCUUGCGGAAAGCCGGAUCUUGGAGGCACCCAUGCGCGUGAACAGAAUGCUUGCCAUCCCUCGCCAGGCCUGGCUGUGUCUCCAGCUCGGAUGGGGCUUCCUUAAAAACAAACGAUGCCUUUUACAAAACCCAUGUUUCAUGGCUUCCCUUCAGUUCUUCCCACUUGGUUAAGUAUCGAGCUUCGGCUCAGGUCAUAACCUGGUUCUUGGGCUCGAACCCCAUGUGGGGCUCUGUGCUGAGCCUGCUUCGGAUUCUGUGUCUCCCUCUCUGUCUGCCCGUCCCCCGCUUAUGCACUCUCUGUCUCUCUUUCUCUC